rnacentral:ncRNA from 1 species
UGACUCGGGGUGCCCUGCUAACACAGGCUGAGAAAUACCCGUUGAACCUGAACUGGAUAAUGCCAGCGGAGGGAAGUCAG